AUGCAUGCAUACACACACACACACACACACACACACACACACGAAUAAAUGAAUGAAUCCUAAAAAUAAAGCAAAGCCACAGUAAAUCUAGCCCCUUCUCCCCAACUCAGUGACCCAGAAGUGGUACUUGCAAUGUGGCUUUCUUUCCCACAAUCCCUAGUGCUUCCCUUGUUUUCAACUUGGGCCUGGAAGACUGCUUUUUUUCAAAGAAGUGAAGGGUGACCUGCCAUCAACAAGUGAACCUGAGGAGUGGGCUUCUGGAAGUACCCCAAGAACUUGGAGAAAUUUGCCACAAAGAUGGGAACCACAGUGUGCACACCGACAGAAUAAGGACCAUUCCAACAAGGAACCUGUAUGUAUCUGUCCAAAAAAACUCGGACUGGCAGAAGCAGUGGACUAACCAGCAAGAGAAAAACAAAAACAAAGCAAAACAACAAAAAAACAUUGCUCAAAGGUAUGUGCCAGUGACAUCUAACAUGUUCAUGAAGUAUCUUACACAGAACAAUUCAAGAACCAUCUUCAAAUAAAGCUUAUAAACUUGUCAGGAGACCAGGUAUCACUGACAUUCCAGGAUCACAACACAGCUCUCCAUUCCUGGCAGGACCACCUUACGCUUGUCACCAAAGGCCCCAGAUCCUUCAUUUGGUUGCAAAAUGGGGACACUAAUGCCCGUCUUUGAGCUUUGUGCCAACCCUGAAGGAAGAUCCCAGCAAAGGCCGUCCCCUCCUGCUUCUCUGUGCCAGCAAAAGUACUCUCUGGCAACCCUAUGUAUUCAACAGAUUGUCAUUUGUGCCAGCUGAUUUUUAUAUCAACUUGACAUAAGCUAGAGUCAUCAGAGAAGAGGGAACCUAAUUGAGAAGAUGUCUCCAUAAUAACGAACGUGCAGGGCAUUUUCUUAGUGACUAAUGUGAGAAGGCCUGGCUCAUUAUGGAUGGUGCCACCCCUGAGCUGGGGUCCUGGAUGCUAUAAGAAAGCAGGCUGUGCAAGCCAUGAGGAGCAAGCCAUAAACAGCACUCCUCCAUGGCCUCUGCAUCAGCUCCAGCCUCCAAGUUCCCAGUCUGAGUUCCUGCCCUAACUUUAUUUUUUUUAUUUAUUAUGUAUACAAUGUUCUGCCUGCAUGUAUGCCUGCAGGCUCCCUAACUUUAUUUGAUGAUGAGCACUGUGGUAGUUUGGAAGAAAAUAGCCCCCAAAGGGAGUGGCACUAUUGGGAGGUGUGGCCUUGUUGGGGGAAGUAUGUCACUGUUGAGACUGACUUUGAGGUCUUAUAUAUGCUCAAACCAUGCCCAGUUAGACAGACCACUUCCUGUUACCUGCAAGCCAAGAUGUAGGACACUUGGCUACUUCUCAGCACCAUGUCUGCCUGCAAGCCACCAUGUUGCAACAUGAAGGUUAACAGACUAGCUAGGUGGUGGUGGCGGCACAUACCUUUAAUCCCAGCACUUGGGAGGCAGAGACAGGCAGAUUUUUGAGCAAGUUCAAGGACAACCAAGAUUAGUGGCGAAGGUGGAAAAUGGAAAGCUGGUGAAGAGGUCAUUGAAUGAAGGGGCCAUGUUCCAGCCCCAGUAAGCAGCAGAACUUGGCAGCUUCAGCUGCGUGGUUCUGGUUUUAGAGUUAAGGAUGGAAGAAAUGGGCUAUGGAAUUUGCCUCCACACCUAAAGAAAGCUGCUGAGGCCAGGCAUGUGUCAGAGAUGUCCCUGAAUGGAGGUCUAGAGGGCAUUGAGUGAAGCUGUGAAGGAGAAGCCUGGAUUGCCUUGGAGACCCCAAGAUGUUGAAGAUGCCAGAGCUGUGGGAUACCUGCCACAGAGAUUUGCCAAAAGGAAGUGGAACCAGCCCAAGAGAGAGAAGUGUGUUGUAGUCAACAAAUCUGAAAGAAAUUGGUGAUCUGAAGAGCAUUUUGACAUCAGACAUGGAGAUACAGAGUUUGGAGUCUGCCCAGCUGGUGUUCAGUCUUGCUUUGGUCCAGUGUUUCCUUGCUAUGCUGCUUUCCCCUAUGUUUUAGAAUGGUAAUGUAUAUCCUGUGCCAUUAUAUAUUGGAAGUAUGUGAUCAGCUUUUUGAUUUUGAUUUUACAGGGGUUACAGUUAAGAGAUCGCAUGAAUCUCAGAAGAGAUUUUGGACUCUUAAACAUUGUUGAGACUGUUAUAGUCUACGGGGACUUCUGAAGUUGGACAGAAUGCAUUUUUGCAUUAUGAUAUUGCAAUAAGAUCAUAAGGGCCAGGGAGUGGAAUGUGGUGGUGAAAGAAAAUGGCCCCAAAUGGGAGUGUCACUAUUAGGAAGUGUGGUCUUGUUGGAGGAAGUGUGUCUCUGUGGAGACGGGCUUUGAGGUCUCAUAUAUGCUCAAGAUACCACCUAGUGUCUCGGGUCACAUCCUGUUGCCUGAAUAUCAAGAUGUAGGACUCUUAGCUCCAGCAUCAUGCCUGCCUGCAUGUCACCAUGUCACACCAUGAAGAUAAUGUAGGUCACCCCAAUUACAUGCUUUUCCUCUAUAAGAGUUGCCAUGUUUGCUGGGUGGUAGUGGCACACAUCUUUAAUCCUAGCACUUGGGCAGCAGAGGCAGGCAGAUCUCAGUGAGUUUGAGGCCAGCCUGUUCUAUAG